AUACGUAGGGGGCGAGCGUUGUCCGGAAUGAUUGGGCGUAAAGGGCGCGUAGGCGGCCCGGUAAGUCUGGAGUGAAAGUCCUGUUUUUAAGAUGGGAAUUGCUUUGGAUACUGUCGGGCUUGAGUGCAGGAGAGGUAAGUGGAAUUCCCAGUGUAGCGGAGAAAUGCGUAGAGAUUGGGAGGAACACCAGUGGCGAAGGCGACUUACUGGACUGUAACUGACGCUGAGGCGCGAAAGUGUGGGGAGCAAACAGGAUUAGAUACCCUGGUAGUCCACACUGUAAACGAUGAAUGCUAGGUGUAGGGGGUAUCGACCCCUUCUGUGCCGCAGUCAACACAAUAAGCAUUCCGCCUGGGGAGUACGGCCGCAAGGUUGAAACUCAAAGGAAUGGACGGGG
rnacentral:rRNA from 1 species